rnacentral:rRNA from 1 species
UACGAGGGGGCAAAUGUUGUUCGGAAUCACUGGGCGUAAAGGGAGCGUAGGCGGGUUCUUAAGUAAGGUGUUUAAUCCCGGGGCCCAACCCCGGACCGGCACUUUAAACUGGGAAUCUUGAAUAGUGGAGAGGUCGGUGGAAUUGGGGGUGUAGCGGUGGAAUGCGUAGAGAUCCCCAAGAACACCAGUUGCGAAGGCGGCCGACUGGACACAUAUUGACGCUGAGGCUCGAAAGCAUGGGGAGCAAACGGG